GGAUGUGAGGGUGCUCUGGCUGCUACAUCUGUCACCCCACUGAUCGCCAGGAUUGAUUCAGCUGAUCUGGCUGGCUAGGCGGGUGUCCCCAUCCUCCCUCACUGCUCCAUGUGCGUCCCUCCCAUAGCUGCACGCUCAGUCGAAGAGGACAACUUUCCCCGCUAGAGGAGAACCAUUCUUUGGUCAAGGGUAUACGAGUAGCUGCGCUCCCUUGCUAGAACCUCCAAACAAGCUCUCAAAUGUUGUUAACAUGCUAAAAGCAUGAAUGAACCUGGAAGACAUCAUGUUGAUGAAAUAAGCAAGACACAAAAGGAGAAAUAUUGUGUAAUUUCUCUUAUAU
rnacentral:snRNA from 1 species